AUGGCUGCAAACAGACUCUUCCCUGGCCAAAGCUAUUGGAAAGGCAUAAAUAAGCACAGGGCGAUCCCUUCUCUUGGAAGCUUCCAUUAUGCAAUCCAGAGAUUCCUGUGUGCUCAUGUUUCCUGUGUAAACCAAUCAGAAGGCACCUUGGCAAAGACAGAUCUUUACAGCAUACAAAAAGAUUAUUCCACAACAGUGGAUGCUAUUCCUGUUAUUUGGAAUGGGCUUCUGGUUAUUCAAUGGACUUCUCUGUGUUCAAGAUUCACCACGCACAGCUCUGCCCUCACCUGAAAGCCACUGUAGGUUCCUAAUUGUAUAGGAAAGUUUUGGACAAGAUUUAGAUGCUGUAUAAGGAAUACUAAACUAAUAAAAUUUUCUUCCUUCCUCCCUUUUUUGUUUGU
rnacentral:lncRNA from 1 species